rnacentral:lncRNA from 1 species
UAAAGAAAUAUAUCUUUACAUGCUUUUGUCCCAAAUUUUUUUUGUCCAAAUAACGUUCGGUAGCUUUUGAUACCAAUCAAAUCCCGAAUAAAAAUUAGUCGAAUACUAAGAGUUGCUUGACUACAUAUUGUUGUACAAAUCCAGAUAUGAUAUUUGGAUUGAUCAAUAAUUUAGCUGUAACUGUCAGAGCUGCAUCCAAAUUAGCUGUGAUUUCAAAUGCAAUAAUUAAAAAGAGUAAAUUUAAAUAAGAAAUAAGUUAAAGAUUAAUGAUAUAUAGAUUCAUUUAUGUAGAAUACUUGUCAAAGGGAAACUUAUUGGAGACAACCCCUCCUUAAAUUUUGGUGCCCACAAAUAAUAAAAUAAAUUAAGCAGGACCCAAAAUUAACCUCUUGGCCAUCCAGCUUUCUCCUGUCAUUGCCAUGCAAUUAAUGAAUUUAAAAUUUAUAUAUAAAAGAAAGAACUUGUGCUUAUCCAAAAAGCACCAUUCAAUGUGUGGAUAUAUCACUAGGCCACUCUUGAUGUUGGCAUAUGAUGAUGAUGAUAAUAAUAAUAAUAAUAAUAAUAAUGUGGAGCAGGUCGGGUGUGCUAUUAAAAGCAUGGAGGCCAUCAUGCUGCUAAGCCGCCUUCAAUAAUAGAGCUUUCAAAUUGACGAUCGACUCUGUUAGACUUGAUCUAGCAUAUUUGAAGUAUCUAAAUAAUAAAUUUUAUGAUUUUUCAAUAUCAUUUACUUAGUGAUCAGGUAGUCGUAGACAUUUGAUCAUACUAAUUAAUUUUUGAAUAUUAUGUGCUUCUUAAUAAAUUUGAAAGGAUAUACUGAAUAAAAUAUUCAUGCAUCGCUUAAAAAUCUGCCACAAUCGUUUUCGAGUGAAGCACUGUAAAAUUUUUUAAAUGGUCAAAACUUCUUCUUCUUCUUUUUGGUAAAAGCGUAUAUAAUUUAUCUGAAUUAUGAAUCAUUUUGAAUCGACUAUUCGAUCUUUUAAAAUUUUGAUUUUACUAUCUAAUCUUUCAAUUUGUUUGAUUUAAAACAGCCAACAGCAAUUUACCUUCAAAACUUGAAUAUGUUGUUUAUGUUUAUCAACUAUAAUCAAUACAAUUCUCGCAACGAUAAAUUUAUCAAAAGAAGUAAUUAAUUUAAAUUUUGAAAUCAAAAUGUCGAUAACUGACUCAAAUCAAACAAGUUAAUUAAAAAGCUUGAUAAUAAAAUCAAAAUUUUGAAGGGCUAAAAAAUAAUCCAUAUUUUAGAUAAAUGCAAAACGGAACCUUCUCUCUNNNNNNNNNNNNNNNNNNNNNNNNNAGCGGCGGCGGCCGCUGCGUGGGCGCGCGGCCAGGGGGCGCAGGGCAAGAUUGGGAUUGAAGAUGGCAUUCAAGUUAGGGUAUAUGUGGCCACUAGGGAUGUGAGUGCCCCCAUUUUGUGAGUUGCGCGAACUCAACUUUGUGGCUCCUAUGGUGGAAGUGAAUGUAAUAUAGAUCUCUAUGUGCUCAUGAGUGCAGGUGGCAAGAACCAUGCCUUUUGCGAAUCAUUUAGUUGUGUGAAUCUAGACCUCAGAUGAAACUACUGAAUCAAGGAAUAACAGCGGAACAUUCUGCUGCCCCUCUACAUAGACUUUUAUUUUUAUUAUUAUUAUCUUUAAAUGUUAUGUCUAUUUUCGUUUAUUGUGAUGAAAAUUGAAUAGUGCGAUCGGGCAUGGCCUGUUCUUUUGCCGAGCAUGCGCGCAGGCGGCCCCAUCAUACUGAGCCAGCCAUACGUACGCUCUGCCAAGAUAUGUACAUCCUCACCUUGAAAAAAUAACAAAAACAAAAAACAAAAAGUGAAUCAAACACGAAUGGUGAAUCAUGUCUUCAUUGGAACAAACCCUUAUAGAGCCUAAGGUCCAUAGGCUGCAGCUUAGUACUAGGAGCCUAAGGAGGGUCAGUGUAGUGCAAUAAAUGCAGGGGUGGGGGUGGGAGCAGUGGCACGAGUAACUUUAUUUCCAACCAAUAUAUAUAUAUAUAUAUAAUAAUAUAUAUAUAUAUAUAUUAUAUAUAUAUAUAUAUAUAAUAUAUUAUAGAGUAGGGCUAGAAUACUUUUACAAGUAUCACCCGAGUGAUACUUGUGUGUUUUUAGCCAUUGGAUCUACUUUUUGAUUACUAAUAGUCCUUGAAUCAAACACUAUUCCACCUACCACCACCUACCACCACCUACCACCAUCAUCUCAACCUCACAUCUCUCCGUCCAAGGGCGAAAACACACAUAAUUCACUUGGGUGAUACUUUACAAGUAUUCUAGCUCAACUCAUAUAUAUAUAUAUAUAUAUAUAUAUAUAUAUAUAUAUAUAUAUAUAGUUGAGGCUACUAUGCUAUCGGAAGUACGGAGCCUUCCGUGCUUUCCAACUCGUUUUCGAUAUUGCGACUUUCGAAUCGUCGAUCGGCUCCGUUAAACUUGAUCUAGAGUAUUUGAAGUAUCUAGAAAAUAAAUUUUAUGAUUUUACGAUAUCAUUUGCCUGUGAACGAAGGGGCUCAAAAUCAACGGCUGAAAAUAAAAAUCUUACAAAGAUGUAAUAAUAUAAUAUUAAAAUUUUAAAUCAAAGUAUUGAUCUUGUUUUAUAUAGUAUAAAGAAUUUUCUAUCAAAAUUUCACGUGAUUUGGAUAUUUCUGCACCGCGUUAAACUUGCAAACGGCGUCACUACGGCCAUUGAAAUUUGUUGAUUUUGAGCCUUCGAUCACUAGGCAAAUGAUAUCGAAAAAUAAUAAAAUUUACUUUAUAGUACUCCAAAUACUCUAGAUCAAGUUUAACGGAGCCGAUUGACGAUUCGAAAGUCGCACAUCGAAAACGAGCUGAAGCACGGAAGGCUCUAUGCUUCCGAUAGCAUAGUAGCCCUCACUCUAUAUAUAUAAUAUAUAUAUUAUAUAUUACUAGUUAAGUGCACGUGCAACGCACGUCACACAAAUACUAAAAAAAAAAAAAAUUUAUAAAUAAAUAUUAAAGAUUCGAUAAAAUAAUAUUUAAUCAUUACUAAAUAAAAUGAUAAAAAUAAAAAUAGAAUUACAAUAUCAUAAAAGAAAGAACACAAAAUCUAGUAUCAUUAAAAAAAAUAGAAAAUUCGUCACUAAACUAAUUGAAAAUGUCACCAUUAGUUCCCCUUCCGUACAAAUUGCAUUGUAAGUAAAAAAACAAUAAAAUAAAUAUUAUAAAUCAUCAGAAUAGAUAAAAUUAAAAAAAAUGUAAAUUUAAUAAGAAUUCAUAUAAGUAAAAAAUUUAGCUUAAUUUUAUUUCUUGAGUUUUUGGAAUUGGUGGAUUAAGCACAAUUUUACUUAUAAAAUUUUGCUAAAUUGAUCCUGAUAAAUAAAUUUAAAAUACCAUAAAAAAAUAAAAUAUUAAAAGUACAUUUAUCCAAAUUUAUCGAUUAUUAAAGUGUACUAUUUUUAUACAACAACUGAAUUGUUUACAUAGUAUCUCUCCAAAUGCAAGUGUGUUUAUAGCACUAUCUUGUUCUAAGAGUAUGAAUCUAAUUCGAUUCAUACUUCAAUCCAUCCAAAUAAUUAGUUAUUAAUAAUUUUUUUAUGCCAAUGUGUGUUAGCAUUAUCUUUUCCUAGAAAAUCAAUCUAAUUCAAUUCAUACUUCAAUCCAUCCAAAUAAUUAGUCUUAAUAUUUUUUCAUGUAAAAUGUUAAAAAGAGAAAUAUUUAAAUUAAAAAAUUCAAAUUAUCAAAUCGCGGGUAUUAAAUUUGGCGGCAUUACAAAUUUAAAUUUAAUUUGGUACUUAGAUUGGUAGUAUUACGUUUGAGAAAAAAAAUAUUUGAGAAAAGUUUGGAUAUGUAAUAAUUUAAUUUUACAUAUUACGUGAUUAGCGGAGAUAUUAUGUGAUUGGGGGCGGUAGACGUUAGAUAAGUGAUAAAUUUAGUUUUACGUAUUACAUGAUUGUUGGUAGAAAAAAUAUUUGAAAAAAGGAUAUUUUGUCAACAAAAAUAACAGAUACUUUUAUUUUUAUUCGUUGGAAAGAUUCAAUGGCGAAAACUUAAGAUCUAUAUUUGAGAAUAAAUUAUUAUUUGAAGAUUUAUUUAAAAUAGAUAAAAUAUAUUUUAUAUUUGAGAACACGGAGAAUAUUUUGGUGUUGAAUAUUUUGGUAAAAAUAUUUAAAAUUAUAUUUAAUUAACGAUUUUGUUUUGCUUGGGCGGGUAUUAAUUUUUUUAAAAAAUAUUCUAUACUUUUACGAUGCAUUAUUUAAAUAUUGAAUAUUUUGUUAAAAAUAUUUAAAAUUAUAUUUAAUUAACGAUUUAGUUUUGAUUUUGGGUAUUAAAAUAUUUUUAACAAUAUUUAACGCUUUUAUGGCGCGCCAAAUUUUAAUACUCGUCAAAAUUAAAUCUACUAUUUUAUUUAAGGAAAAACCUACUAUCAUAAAUUAAAAUUCAAAUUAUCAAAUUCGCGGGUAUUAAAUUUAUGCGGGCAUUACAAAUUUAAAUUUUAAUUUUGAAUACUACAUGUUGGCAGCAAAUAAAUUUAAUUUUACGUAUUACGUGAUUAGCGAAGGUAUUGCAUGAUUGGCUGGUAUUACGUUAGAUAAGAGAUAAAUUUAGUUUUACGUAGAUAGGAGAUAACGGAUAUAAAGGGUAUUUUUGUCAACAAAAAUGACAGAUACUUUUAUUUUUAUUCGUUGGAUGAGAUCUAAUGGCGAAAACUUAAGAUCUAUAUUUAAGAAUAAAUUAUUAUUUAAAGAUUUAUUUAAAAUGAGUGGUUGAAAUUUACUGGACAUGACAAUAUUAGUAAAAGAGAUAGAGACAUUUUUGGAAAGGAAAAAAUUUCAAAACUCACGCUUUUAUAAGUAGUAUAGAUAUAUAUAUAUAUAUAUAUAUAUAUAUAUAUGCUAAUGCUACUAUCCUAUUAAUAGGAUAAUGAAACUCCAAUGAGUUAUGAAGUGACUCUUAGACUUUUGGCUCAUUAUGAGGGUGAGUUAAUGUGUCUCAUAAUGAGAGAGUUAGUGUGUGUCUAGAUUCAUUGUAUCUAGGAGCCUAUAAGUGUGGGAUUUGGUUAAGGCCAAAACACACAAGAGGGAGUGUGUAUGUAAGUUGUAAUUCUCAUUUUCUAAGUAGUGUAGUACUUAGCUUUUUAAGAGAAUCUCUGUCUCUCUCUCUUUGUCAUUCCCUUAGCAUACUUAGUCGUAGGACGCGAAGGUCCGGACUAGCAACAGGGACGAAGGCUUGCCCAUCUUCGAGCAGGAAGGCGGGCGCCGCACGGGCUUUGCGAACAGAAACAAUAAGGCCGUGACAGUUGGUAUCAGAGACGGUUCGAGAAGGAACCAUGUAUUCAGAAGCUGCCGUCGUUAACGUUGUGCCUGAGCCCAGGGCGACCAAACACGGCAAGAGCAAGGAGCCGCGGACUCUGGCGAGAGAGUCCGUCUUGCUUGAUGACCGCGUAGGCGUGCUGGAGGACUCUGCUGCGAGCGCGGAGGAGCGCUACUCCGACCUAUCCCAACAUGUGGGGAUGUUGGAGGAGAGGUUUUAUUUAAUGGAGAUGGAUAUUGUUGCAGCUAUGGCAACAUUCCGCCAUCGUCUGGAGCAGUUCAAAGUGAAUCUUGCCCGUCGCAACAACGAGCGGGAUGUGCGAGAUGUGCUGUUUCAGGACAUUGGUGCCCAGGUCAAGUUGGUCGAGGACCUCAAGACGAGGGAGGCACUACCUGAGUGAAUCGAGGGUGAUCGAGUUGAACCACCAAAGACGAGCGAGGCCAAAGGUGGGGGAGAGCACCACGAUCUAGGGGACGCAAAAGGGCGCAACGAGAGUCCAACUCUGACAACCCUGCAGCUUUGCGAGGAGGUGAAGCGCGAGAAGGCUGGGGACCUCGAGGAGGAGGGCCUGAGCAGCGGCGAGACUAUCGAGUCUCAUGCGGCGCUGGAGCGGCCAGCGUCCAACCAAAGUGCAAGUCAUUCUGCCAACGAGCCUGCGACGACCAAAAAGCGUUUUGCAGCUUAGCAGUGUACGCGUGCGUGUCGCGGAGGACAUGCACACUCGAGGUGUUCUGCGGCUUGGCAGAGUGUGCGUGCGUGUCGCGGAGGACAUGCACAUUCGGCGAACUCUUCGCACAGCAGGCUCGCUGGUGCACUUGCUCAAAGGGGCAAAACACUAGGUGCUGGUGCGGGGACAUGUGCGGACAUUGGGAGCAAAGCACGGGGCCGAUCGCGCGUGAAGGCACGACGGACCGCGCGGAAGGCUAUGCGGACUGGGAGCGACUCUGCACGCGACGAGGGCGUCUGCGCGUUAGGGGAGGGAGAAUGUCACGGACAAAAUGUUUUCCGCUGACUUCUCCUUGACAGUGGCCCAACUUCGCUAGCGAAGCGGGUUGUUAAAGUGACCCGAACCCAACCCGUUAUGGAGAGAUGAGGGGUUUUGUAACCUCUCCCAUCAAUGAUGGAAACUUAAGGGUUAUGAAACUCCCAUGAGUUAUAGGGUGACUCUUAGACUUUUGGCUCAUUAUGAGGGUGAGUUAAUGUGUCUCAUAAUGAGAGAGUUAGUGUGUGUCUAGGUUCAUUGUAUCUAGGAGCCUAUAAGUAGUGGGGUUUGGUUAAGGUCAAAACACACAAGAGGGAGUGUGUAUGUGAGUUGUAAUUCUCAUUUUCUAAGUAGUGUAGUACUUAGCUUUUUGAGAGAAUCUCUGCCUCUCUCUCUUUGUCAUUCCCUUAGCAUAUUUAGCCGUAGGACGCGAAGGUCCGGACUAGCAACAGGGACGAAAGCUUGCCCAUCUUCGAGCAGAAAGGCGGGCGCCGCACGGGCUUUGCGAACAGAAACAACAAGGCCGGGACACUAAAGUCCAUAGGCUGCAGCUUAGUACUAGGAGCCUAGGAGGGUCAUUGUAGUGCAAUAAAUGCAAGGGUGGGGGGUGGGAGCAGUGGCACCGAGUAACUUUAUUUCCAACCAAUCAUAUAUAUAUAUAUAUAUAUAUAUAGGCUAAUGCUACUAUCCUAUUAAUAGGAUAAGAGCACUUGUCCUAUCAAGUUAUUCUUGAUGAUCGAGAUUCCGAAUCGAUGAUCGGAGCUGUUGAAGUUGAUCUAGAGUAUUUGAAAUAUCUAGAAACUAAAUUUCAUAAAUCUUGAUAAUUAUUUACAUGGUGAUCAAAGUGUCGUAAAAUCAACAAUUUUUGACGGUCUAUAUGAGCCGUUUGCUUGUUUAACGGUGUAGAGCAAUCCAAAUUGCUUGAAUUUUUGAUAGAAAAUUCUUUAUACUAUUUAGAUAAUGUUUGAUAACUCUGAUUACGAACUGAGAAAGUCUAACCUCUAUUUUAAGAAGGUUAUUCAUUUAUGACCGUUCAUUUUUCAACUCUUAAGAUGAACUUGAUAAUGAUUUUUAAAUAUUACAAAAUUUGGUUUCUAAAUAUUUCUAAUUGUGUAGAUUAAGUUCAACGGUGCCGAUUAUUAAUUUGAAGUUCCGAUUUUUCAAAUCGACUUGAUAGGAUAAGGGUCCCAAUCCUAUUAAUAGGAUAGUAGCCGGACGCUAUACAUAUAUAUAUAUAUAUAUAUAUAUAUAUAUAUAUUUCGAAAUAAAAAAAUUUGAUUGAUCUGAAACAUGAAAUAUGAAAAAUAAACAAUAUUGUACAACUAUUACAUUGAAGAUCACCUAUAAGUGCCCAAAGUGUACUUAUACGGCUGUAAGUUUGAGAUAUAAAUAGAUUCAGAUUAGUGUUGUUUUUGUCCUUAUUCAUCUCAAAAUAAUAAUAGAAAAAACUUCAAAACGCUCCCUGUGGUUUCGCACGUUUUCACUUCAAUAUCUUGUGAUUUAAAGUGCAUGAAUUUAGUGCCAUGUGGUUUUAUUUUUCUCUUUUUAUUAUCAAUUUCGCUAUUUUUUUUCUUAAAUCAGUAACAAAAUUAAAAUUAAAGGGUAUUAAAGAGAAUAUUCGAUAAACUUAGAUGGGUAUCUGAAGUUUUUUGUAUAUAAUUUAACGAAAUAUUAACGAAAAAAUAGCUGAAAAGAUAAAAAUGAAACCACAUGGCAUUAAAUUGAUACAUUUUAAACCACAUGGUACUAAAGUGAAAAAGUGCGAAACUACAGGAAGAGUUUUUGAAAUUUUUCCCUAAUAAUAAUAGAGACUAAAAUUAAAAAAAUAAUUUCCUCUAUAUAUUUCCAGAUCUGUUAAAAAAAUAGAGCUGAUGGCGGGGAUUCCUUCCCCUUCAUUCUUUUGAUCUUUUUCUAUCCUUCAAAAUUUAUUUUUGCUCCGCUUUGCUCUGAAUAAAAUUAUAGUAAUAUAAAUAAAUAAAUAAAAAUCAAUCAGUUUAGAAUUUUUUCCCAUCUAUCGAAAAACAAGAUGGGAGGUGGGAAUCCCCUCCUACCCUCAGAUCCGCCCAUUUGCAUUCCUAUUUAUAAGCCUCACGCACCUCACUCUCAUUUUUAAUAAGUAAUAUUUUAAAGUUUAAAUCUUAUUUGAUGGAUGUGAUUUGUUAUCGUUAAAGAAUUUAUAUAUAAAUAAUGAUGUACUUUUAAAUUUUAUUAUCUAGAUAAAAGUUAAUAAUAAAGAAGGAAUUAUUGUUUGAUUUAUUCAACAACUUAGAUACAAAUUGCGAAACCAUCACAAAUGUACAUGUAUGCAGGAUGUAGUUGUGAAUCUUACGCUCCAUGCAUACAUGUACGUAAGAAUUUACACCUUCUUUUUAAGAGAUACUGACCAAUUUACUCCCCAUUUUUGGUAUGUAUUGAGCAUUGCCCUUUUUAAAGUCACUGGUCACUACCUCAUGUGGGGGUGCAAUGCAUGUGCUGACAUGCAAAUGCGUGAGCUUGGGGCAAAAGCCCCUGAGCAACAUUCAGGUAGAACUGCAGCUCCAGUAUUUCCCCUUCCUUUUCCAAAGACUUCCCAUCUUUUGAGUCUUCUCUUCAAUGCACUCUCCCUUACUUUCUUCCAUCUACUAUGUGUUCUCUCUUGUCACACGCUUCUUCUGUUUUUUUUUUUUUUUUUUUGAAAAAUAGAUAGCAAGCUAGCUGCUUCAUUCAUUAAGUAAAAUAAACUAAGCGUAUAUGGUGGAAGCAGAUAGAGCCUCCAAAAUGAGCCAGCAGAAAAGAGGGAAAUCCCAAAAAAACAAAACACAGUACCUAUCGAUAAGACAAAAGUUAACAAGGAAAAAACGGAGGGUGACGAACGAAAGUAACAGUCUGUUACUUUCUAGUUUCAGUUAUUGCUAAUAGAGCGCCAGCAAAAAAAAAGAGAAAAAUAUUGUUUCUGUUACGGUGAAAAUUUUAAAUGAUUAAAAGCAAUUUGUUAACUAUGAAAAAGCUUCACUAGAUUUUCUUUUUGAAAAAUUAUUCAGCGGAAAAUAGGAAAGAGCUUUUGGUUGCGGCGGGGAACUGCAACAAUGAUUUUGCGCAUCAGGAAUCUAAUAAAUUGCUUGUUUGAUACCGCUUCCAUUUUAAUUUCGGACCGCGGUCGUGAUCAGCAGCGUAGUUAAUAAAUUUAAAAAAUUUAGGAAACAAUAAAUAAAAAAAAAGUAAAUAACGCCUUAUAAGGACAAGGCCGAACAUGGCCGAAGUCUCAAGCUUCCUCUCUUGUAACUUCAGUGCAAAGCUACAUAUUAGUUGUUUUGACAGAAAACACUGCUUUUUAGAAGUACAUGCACCUGUUUGCUUAGAUCCUGUCAUUAGAGGGGAGCCUAGUUUUGGAAGUGCUAAUGAUUGAAGAUAUAUAUAUAUAUAGCAGAGUAAUCCUAUCCUCAGAUUCUAAUAUUAGCUACGCUGCUAGGGUGUGCGCAGUAGAUUGUAGAUUGGAAAAGAGAAAAAAAUGAAGCAGCAGGUGAACUUGAGUGAAUGGCUUUUCUUGCGCAGCAGAUAGAUAAAAAAACCAACUCCUCAUUAGUUGUUUCUGAAACCCCUCCCAACCCUCAUUUAAAACCUGUCAGAGCCCUGAAAUCUCCCCACUAGAUUUUGCUGACAUCAUCUUGUCCACUACUUCCUUCCCAAUACUGCAAUUCCUUCCACUGUGCCAGAAAACCCAAUUUCUCAUCUUUUUUAAGUCCCCAAGAAAGAAAAAAUAAAAAUAAAAAAGCUGAGGCAUAAAAGCCCAGUACUCUCUGUCUGAGGUGCAGCUGAGAACCUGCACAGAGAUUCCAGAUAUUUUGGCUGCCACUAUCAUUGCAUAGAGAAGCAGAUGGAGAUGGGAGAGAGAGAGGAGGAGGAGGAGGAGGAGGAGGAGAUAAGAAGAGAGAGAGAGAGAGAGAGAGAGAGGGAGGGGAGAUGGGCCCCCAAAAGCCUGCACAAAAAGGCAAAUGUAUUUCCUCCUCUCCAUCCCCACUUCACCCUUCCACUUGUUGCUGUUGUUCUUUUCCCCACCCCCCCACUCUCCCUCCUCUUUAUAUGUGGCUCCUCUCCUCCCACUGCUCCCUCCUUUCUUUUCCUGCCUUUUGCUCAGUUGCAUGGUCUUUGAUUGAUUGGGGUUGUAGCACCCCCCCCCCCCCCUCUUAAGGUUUUUUGUUCUCUUUUCUUAAAAUGCCACUAUUACCCCCCUGUUUUGGGCCUGCUGUGUCUUUAUCUGCUUGUGUUUGUUCAAGCAAAAGGAAAGUAAAAAGUAAAAACUUGUUUUUUGGUUUGUGGUUUGGUAGUGUUGGCUUUGCUUGGACUGUAAGCCAAUAUAUGGGCUCUUGAUUUGUAUUCCUUCUGUAAAGCAGAGAUUGUAGUAGGAAAGCCAACUUUUUUUUUUUUUUUUUUUUGUGUUCCCACCCUCUAUUAGUCCUUGUUUUGGCCCUUGCAAUAUGUGAGAAGGAAAAAGGGGGGGAAUGAUUGGGUUUUGUGCUGAGGUUUGAAUAGUGUAAUACCCUUUCUCAUUACAGGAGAAUGACUACUACUACUACUACCCAUUUCAUUUAUUUAUUUUAUUUAUUUGUUUUUCUGAGAUGUGCUUUGUUACAUUCCUUGGCUUCAGGGUUAAUAUAUAUAUAUUAUAUUUAUAUAUAUAUAUAUUAUAUAUAUAUAUAUAUAUACUAUAUAUAUAUAUAAUUAUAUACGCCAUACCCUUUUUUUUUUUAAUACUUAGCAGUUUACCUUUGUUGUCAAAACUCAAAUUUUUUAUGGGUUUGUCACCAGUGAUCAAUCAUGGGGAGGUAAAACCCAUGAAUAUUUUAACUGCUCUUAGUCUCACUCUCAUGCUUUUGUCUCUUUGUUUCCUACUGUGGGAGGGGGAAACCCCACUGCUAUGAUCCAUCAGAGAGAGGAUCCCACUUUAAGUGUAACUAUAGCAUUUGGCCUUAUGCUAUUAGGAGGUGGUGGAAAAUGUAUAAUGCUUCUCCAGCCAUGGGGCCCCAUCCUUUUGGUCUUUGUGCUGUGUGAAAACCCAAUUCUCUGAUCACUUAAAAACAAACAGCUACUUCUUGUGGCCAUCAAAUGGUUGUGUGAUUUAUUUUUUUGGAAAUGAUGGAUGCCUGAUCAACUCCGUAUUCCAUUGCUUUCUUGCUUGUUAUUAGGCAAUGAACUAUCACUCUCUUGUAGGCAUUGUAUAAGGAAAUGGACCACUUUCUAUUUUAGGUUGUAGUAUGGGAUACUUUUUUAUGUUCAUGUUUGAGAGCAAAGUGGAGUGCUGUUUAUCUCCUGUUCUACCUAAACUCCAUUGUUUUUUCUUUUUUUCUUUUUCCUUUUUUUUUGUUUGUUUGUUUUGGUUCAGGUCCCCUUGGGGAGGCAGUGUUUGGCUACCAACUAGGCAUUUGAUGGUCUCAGCACCUUCAUGCACAUGAGGAAGGUUGGUGUUUUAAAUAAGCUUUUCCAAGCCAUGAUAUGGCUCCUUAGCUUUUUCUUUUUUAUAUUUAAUUAUUGUCAAAGGAAUGGUUUGGCAUUUCUUUAUUAGUGCAUCAAGUGAGACCUUUUCAGCAUUUUAGAGUAUUUUAUUUGCUUCUUUGAUUGGAUGCUUGCAAAUUUUUUGUACUUUUCUUAAUGCCUAUAUUUAUCUUAGUCUUUGAGUUAAGUGUUUCUUGGCUCUAUCUCAUUCUUCACCCUGUUGUGGAAAUUCAGAGCAUUAUAUUCUGAUGAACCCUGAUACUUUACUAUCUUUUAUGUAGCUUUUUUUCUUUGUUGUUUAAUUGGAUCUGAUUUGCCUUCUCUUUUGUCCCUUUUUCUCAUUCUGGCUCCUUGACAUGAAGAGUUCAGGUAUAUGGUUCUUCAAUUAGGCAAGUAUUAUGUGCUUAGAUAGCGGCUACAAGCUUUUGAUUUUGCUUAUGAUUCAUGAAAAGUAUGUCUCAAAUGCUCAAAAUGAUGCUUUCCAUGCUACUUCUGACUAUGUCACACAUACAAUGACGGUUAAUGUUGUCAUGAGUGUGGUUAAUCUCAUGCCUUUCUGAGUUGAAAAUCUUUGAUUGCGCACUUUUAAGUCUAGCACUUAAUUAGUCAAUGUCUUAUUUUGGUCAGACCUGUGUAAACUGGUGUUUAUAUUGUGAGAGCAUUCGGGAGAAAGGCGAACUUUGAUGCAUUGGCUGUUUUACUUGAUAUAGUGUGAAAUAUAUGCUUAAAAUUACUCAACAUUGUCUUCUGCUCCUAGUAUAUUCUUUCUUUCAGCCGUCCAUCUAAAUAAGUUUUAUGUUUGCGUUUCUCGACUACUCUUUUUUAAAAUAGCGUAAUGCUGUCUCUACUUGUUUUAAGCAAAAUUUUGGAGCUUCAUUUAGUAGGAUUCCGUGCUGCGUUGGAAAAUUUUUAGCUUAUGUAUCAUCAUCUAAACCAGGAUGAAAGCACCUGAUAAACCAGUUUAAUGUAAUCUUUGCAUAUGCAAAUAAACCAUGGCAAGAGUUCCCCACAACUAAGAGGAAUAAUUUUUUUUUUCCUGUGCUUGCUUGCGUAAAUUCAUCACUAGUUCUUUCCUACUAUUCUAGUUAGACUGAUUAAAAUUAUUGUUGAUUGCCACUUAAAACCAUGGUUAUUACAUAUAUAUUUUUUUCGAAAAUUUUAUCCAUCUCUAUGACUUACUCUUUCCUUUACUAUCUCAGGACAACAUCACUUGAUAAGGGAACUUUGAACAGAAAACAGUGCCUACUCAUGAAUGUUAAAUUUGUUGUUAGGACUUGAUAGUUUUCUCCCAUAUUGCUUAAUAGUAAAGAUGCAUUAAACUAUUGGGGAUGUCAAUCUCAAUGAGUAUAACUAUUCUACUAUCUGAGAAGUUCACGGUUCAACUUGUCCGUAAGGGAGUAGCAGAAUCAACUAGUAAUAAAUAGUCUCACCUUGAGUGAUCUUUGUUUGAGAUCAAGGAACUAUCUUGCCAUUAUUCCUCUGGUUACGUUAAAAAGAUAAAUACUAUGGAGAAUGAUCUAUUCAAUGCCUCCCUAUCAAUGUCGAGCAAUAGCCAUUUUGCCAUCGAACCAUCUCUCUCAACAUUACAAGUAGAAGCGAUGGACAAUAUUUAUAUGACCCACAAUGGUCUGGUCAAUUACGAUUUACCAUUUUCUUCCACUAUGGGCCAAGAAGGAAGCGCGCCUUUUAAUGGGCCUUUCGGUAAUGAUGAUCCAAGAGAACAUUUCACGGGAACUUCACUUCCGACUGCUCCAGUGUCCAACCUUUUCGGCACUUGUUUACAAGAAAAUCCCUCUAUUUUUACAUUGGAAGACAUGAGAACUUCUAUAUCGAGUAAUAGCUGCAAGACUAUGAGUUCUUCACUUACUGCAUCAGUAAAUCGCAAUUUUGGGCCAGAAAAUGAUGACAAACUGAACGGAGAAACUGAUCGUGCAUGGAGCUAUGAUGAAAGGAUAUUUAAUUAUUUUCAUCCAUUAUAUCAUGUCGUGGGAAGCUCGGAUUCUUCGUGGAUCUUUAAUAGAUCAGAUAUGAACUUCUCUCAACCACACCAAAGCUAUGCACCAAGUAAUGAACUUUCUCUAAGUCUUGGCUCCUAUCACCCUUCUAUUAUGACCACGACUAAUAUUUCAGAUCAAAGCUCAGAAGUAAGCUACUCUGGCGUAUCCCGUGAUAGUAAAAAUGAUGGUGUGCAUCAAAACUGUUUCAACAAUGAGGAGCUUUCGCUAUACAAUGCCUCUUCUAGGCCCAUUCAUUUUUCUCGUUUAUUACUAGGAUCAAGGUACCUUCACGUGGCCCAACAAAUACUUGCUGAAGUUGCAACUUAUGCAUUACAAGAUGUUAAUGAGGCAAUGGACACAGUUUCUGGAAUUGAGGAGGAACCAAAGAUUUCUUUUAUGUCGAUUACAAAUGUGUGCUCUGAUGAGCUUCAGUUUUCUUCUGGAGAAGCCAAAUCCACAGAAUAUAUAGGUGCUCAACGACAGCACGAAGCUGACACAACGAAAAGUGAGCUGCUAACUAUGCUCCACUUGGUGAGUCAAUCCUUUUCCCUUUUGGAUUCUGUUUGCUGUAUGGAGAUCUUUCCCCAGUUUGGCUUAAACUUCUUGUAAUAAACAGUUUCUUUAUUUUUCCCAGUUACUUGUUUUUCUCCGACUUUCAAAUAUCAUAUGGAAUAUUCGAAGUAGAUAAUUCAGCUGUUUGUUGCAAUUUGUUCUGAUGCUGUAGGAAUAAUUUGUAAUAGUGAUGGUGAAAUUGCUCCAGAAUGAAUGUUGUCGGUUCAAUAUUUAUGAACCUAAAAUCUACUUGGCAGAUUACUAGCCUACUUUAUUUGUGCUUUCCUUGAUUUUCUUUAUAAUGCAGUUUUGAUGUCUAACGAUGCCUCCUGUCUUGAGAUUGUAGGUUGAUCGUAAGUACAGUCAAUGCUUAGAUCAGAUCCAAAACGUCGUAUCUGAAUUCAAUAAUGCUACCGAUUCUAGUGUUUCCAACAUUCACGCUCAGUUUGCUCACCAUGCGAUCACCGCCUUAUACAAGAACUUGAGAGAGAGAAUUGCUACUCAGAUUGUGUUGAUUGCUCAACAACCUAACACAAGCUGCAUUAGCGAAACGGAGAAAAGCUUUGAAUCUGCUUUUAUCCAAAAGCAGUGGGCUUUGCAGCAGCUAAAGAGGGGUGAUCAGCAAUCUUGGAGACCCCAAAGGGGCUUGCCUGAAAAGUCUGUCUCGGUUCUACGUGCAUGGAUGUUCCAGAACUUUCUUCACCCGUGAGUUUGCUUACUAGCGAAACUAAUCAGAUAAUUUUUGAUGACGUGAAACUGCAUUUGAUUCCUUUUAUUAUAUUUCAGUUACCCGAAAGACAGUGAGAAGCAUUUGCUCGCCUUAAAAAGCGGUUUGACCCGGAGCCAGGUAUUUGCCGAUCACAAAUGCUCUUCUGCUAGUUUUAUGUUUAUGCAAUAUGAGAUAUUUAGUCCUGUAAAAUUAUUUAUUGCAUAUAUCCCUGCAAAAUCUUUCCCUUUUUUACAGUAAAAAAAAAAGCCCAGAUGUUUUACAGGUAAUAUGUAAAUAAGUAAUUGUGCGGUGAGGUGAAAUUCCUGGUCAUACUGAAAAAGUUCUAUGUUCAACUAAUUACAUACUCUGCUGAUUGAUUUUUUUAAAAAAUAGGUGUCUAACUGGUUUAUUAAUGCUCGGGUUCGGCUGUGGAAACCGAUGAUCGAAGAGAUGUACUCAGAACUCAAUAAGAGCCGAAGCGAAGAAGGAUCAGGGGGUGAGAAAAGAGUGCAGGGAAAUACUGGUAGUCAAAGAUUCCAAAUGAGCUAAUAGCUAGGGUUAUACCUAAUUGUUUGUGUAUAUUUCUUUUUUAGCGAAUUAUCGAUGAUGUCUAAACCCUAUUUAAUAUAUCUGCUUAUAACAAUUCAUCCUCUUUUAGCGAAUGACUGAUGAUGCUUUUAGCUGCAGUGAGCUGUGGGAUGAUUUUAUGAAAAAAGCUGUUUGAGCUAUCUCUAUGUACUUACGGAGCAUUCAUACAUAUGGAUGGUGAAGGUGGUUUUAGUCUUAACAAUUAAUAUUUGUGAAUCAAUUAUGGUGUUGUUUUCUGCUUCAAUUGGUGUUUAUAAGCUAUAAUUAUGGAGAAGUGCUCACAGUAAUUUGAGAUUUGUCGACUGUUGAUGAUUAAACACAAAUUUUUAUGGUUUGUCUUAUGUAAGAGGGAAAUGUUUUUUCCUGGUGAAACCCAAAUAUUGAGAGCACAAUCUCUAUAUCAGAUCAUCUCUCUCACUGAUUUUUUUUUUUUUUGUUAACUAAUGUGAAUAUUUUCCUGUUGUACAAGCUGCUUCUGAACUUCUUGUUAAUUGAAUGAGACAAAUCUCUCAAUAAAUAACAUAAAUAUUUUUGUCAACUACUGAAGCUAAACAUAUUCUUCACUUUGCCCCAGCUGAUCUUUGUUCACCUGUUCUUUAUGUGUGUCAUAGAGUUCUGCUCGUAGUUCGACCAAUACUCUGCGACAAGUUUGGCGAAGGCCGAGUUUUUAGAUUCCAGUAGCUUCAAUGGUUUAUCAUACUCCACAAGUUUUCCUACAAAGAAAUGAAAACAUGGAUUAAUCUAAGCUCUAUGAUCAUUUUUGAAUGAUAAUGCAAAGGAAAUAUACAAUAAUAUCACACGUAAAAUGACAUGUUACCAUACGAAAGAACCAUAACCAAGUCACUAUCUGUGACAGUUGGGACUCUGUGAGCUAUGGUUAUAACAGUGCAGCUUGAGAAUUCCCGCUUAAUAACUCUUUGGAGUGUAGCAUCAGUGGCGGAGUCGAUCGAUGCAGUUGCUUCAUCGAGAACUAAGAUUUUGUUCCUUUUAAGGAGGACGCGGCCGAGACAGAAUAGCUGGCGCUGCCCCGCGCUCCAAUUUUCACCGUCGUCGCUCACUGCCAUGACAGCAGGAUAGAAUCAUGCCCAAAAAUUCCGUAUAAAAUUUAUCAUUCAUGUAUUUUGUAAGUGGAAAAUAUAUUGUAGGCAUGUCUCGAAGUGGAGUAACUCACCUGCUGAAUCCAGAAGAGCAGGGAGACUGCUGAUGGUGCUCUUUAAUUGGCACUUCUCUAGAGCCUGUGAUCGACACAUGGAAGUAUCAUGUUCAAAUAGUUGGUUAUUAAAUUUGAAAGUGCAGAGAACAAUUUUUUUCUUUUUCCAACAUUAAUCUAGCAUAUAGUGUUAGACAAUUUUUGAUAUUAUUAUGUGGUAAAGUAUUUUUGGCAUCUUACUCAGUAAUUGCGGCCUUAAGCUCCACUAGAAACUCAGAAGAUGGCAAUCUAAGUAUGCUUUCGAAAAAUCAUUUGAACAUGCUGGUUUUUUAUUUACUGCUUGUCUUGGAAAAUGUUUUGAACUUCUUUGUUUUGUCAUCACUAAUUUAGUUGUUAUUAUUCAUCUAUAAAAAUAUACAAAAUCUCAUGAUUACCGACGACUUCAUACAUGAGAGACAUAGUAAAUUCCUAACCUCCCAAAUUUCAUGGUCUGUGUGAAGGCCUAGAGGAUCCAAGUUACCGCGCACGCUCCCUCUGAAAAGAGUCGGCUCUUGAGGAAUAAUACUAAGCUUCAUUCUUAGAUCCUUUAAACCAAUGGUGCAUAUAUCAAGAUUAUCAAUAAGAAUUCUCCCGACAGUCGGAUCCACAAGACGAAAUAAAGCACUUAUUAAAGUCGUUUUCCCGCUUCCGGUCCUUCCGACCACUCCAAUCUUGUUUCCUGCUACAAAAGUGCAAGUGAUUCCUUUGAGAACGAAUGGAGCAGUCGGGCGAUACUUAACCUGAUCAUCAAACAAAUACAUGAAUGUUAACAUUUAUCAGGUAUAAGACCAUUUUAUGAUUAACUACAAUUGUCUCCUCACUUUCAGAUUUUCCAAAUCAAUCCUUCCUUCGAAAGGCCACGAAGGAGGCGGCCUUCUUUCAACAAUAACAGCAGGGGGCUCUGGCGGAAUAUGCAUAUAUUGCUUGAUUCUCUCCACAGAGAUUACAUAGUUUUCAAGGUUCGAGUAGAACCUUGUUAGAAAUACUUGCGCAGAAGAGAGUGUAAGAGCAUAAGAAAGGCAGAGACCUAGAAAACCUGAAACAUAUUAAGAAAAAAAAACUUAAUUGGGCAUUUAAACUUCAAAGAAUUAUAAAAAUUCGACAAAGAUUGGGAAUUUUCUAAAUUCAAGUUAGAGCUGCACCUGGAGCAGUUGUUCCCUCAGUAAGAAAAACAAGAAAAACAGAUGCAGUAAUUAUAAUCAGAAUUUGGAGUGCUUCAACUCUUAAAAGAACCCACUCCAAUGCAGCAAUUGUAUGGAAAAAUAAUGCUGCAUCAGUGUCAAUAAGCUGCAGAUUGUUUUGAAUAAACCUUUUUGUCAUUGCAAAAGCCCUUAUAGUAACCACCCCAAGCAUUGAUUCUGCUGUGUAGUUCAUAAUAGGUGCCUUUGUCGUUCCAUUGAUUCUUACUAGCUCCCUUGCCGACGCUAUGUAAUACCUCUUCAAAAAGAAUGCAUUUAUAUUUAGUUUAUAACUCCAUUGUUUAUUUAAGAGAGAGAAAAUUAGAAUAGAUGGUCCAUUAUGUCGCGCACCUGGAUAUACAGUAUAAGAAUUAUUGCUGGGAUUGCUACAAACAGCACUUGCCAUGUAACUGAGACCAUGAUUAUUAUAGUUCCAGUGAUCUCAAUAGCACCAGAGAUCACAAACGCAAGGGUGUAAGGUAUAUCGAAGUCCAAAAUACUCAUAUCUGAAGAUGCCUGCAAUAGACAACCUAAAGAUGAUUCAACAUAUAUCAGAUGAUUUAUCUAAUUUUGAAAUCCUAAAUUUUUGAGAGUGCUGGUUACAUAUAGAAUACUGCAAUUGCACCAGCAUGUAAAAUCCUAUCCUGAUAAACUGUAAAUCCUGCAAAGAUAUCUUACUGUCUCUGAGAAACAGCAUUUUGGUAUUGAAAAGAAUAAGAAGAAGAAUAAGUACCCGGGUUACAAUUCUUCCCGUCGGAGUUGAAUCGAAGAACAACAUGGGAGCCUUAAACACUGAAUCCAUGAAUCCCGAAAAGAAUGCUUUUGAGGCCUUUAAUCCAAGAUGAGCUGCUAACAAGCUCCUAAUAUAAGCAAAAAUGCAACUAGAUGUAGACAUAAUUGCGUAAACUCCAACCACAAUUCCACUAGCAAAGUGGUGCAUCUGAACAGCAAAAGCCAGCCAAUAGGUUGCUAGACAUUGAAGAAGGACAAAAAGCGACUGUGUCAAUAAAAUCAGGCCAAAAAGAAAUGAACACUUUGAAACUGAAAUAUAGUCCUUAUAUGGUUUCAAUCCAAGUUCUCCUGUUUCCCUUUUUUCGUCUUCCGUGAGCUGGAUUGCAGAUAGGCCCUUAACUGUGAUUUCUCCCUCACUAUUUUGCUUUACAGGCUUUAAUGGAUCCUUAAAUGAUGCUUGAUUUUCUAGUUGUUUUUCAUGAUUUUGAGAAUCUAGGGUAGUUUUCGAAGAUUUAUGAGCAUUGACAAGCUGUUCAAAUGCCGUCCCGGACUUCAGAAGAUCUUCAUAAGUUCCUUCUUGUGUAACUUGUCCAUUUUCCAUGACCUAGAGAAAUAGACCUCGAAUCUUAGUUAGUCUUUAACAUUUGUCAAUAUAUUAUUUUACAGGAAGAUUACUUACCAAAAUUCUAUCAGCUUUAGCAAGAAACUCGACUUGAUGGGUCACAAGAAUGACAGUCUUCCUCUCUAGAGCAGUCAUGACGCAAUCCUGUGAUUUAUUGGUAGUCAUUCAGAAGUUCACACCGAUUACAGUAAUAGGAGCUUUGUAUCUCUGCAAAGUCAUCUUUUCACACAUGUAUCCUGUAAAGCCUAAAGUUUUCAAAAGUACCCCUUAAAAAUCGAGCUUCUUACAAAAUAUCCUUAUCUUAAGUUGACGAGUCAUCGAAGUCGUCAAGGGGAAAUUGAUUUUGUAUCAGAAAAAGAUUUUAAAAAUGGGCAUUUUUUUUAGGAGAGAGCUGUUAUGUGUAAGAAAUUGAGUCUUCGGAAGUGCACACAUGAGAUUUUGGAUUUUACAAGUGUAAACAAUUUUGGAGAAGUAUAUAUGUACAUACCUAUAAAUAAUCUAUACUUUGUUAGUUAGAUUCCGUCAAUAGCAAAUUUCAUGCUCAUAUAAGAUAUGGUCCACUCACAUGAAAUAGGAUUGCCGCAGUAUGUGCAUCUACUGCACUAAAAGGAUCGUCUAGGAGAUAGGUGUCUGCGUCAUUGUAGACCGCUCGCGCAAGCUGAAUCCUUUGCUUCUGUCCUCCACUCAUAUUUAAUCCUCUUUGGCCUAUCUCAGUAAGAUCUCCAUGAACAAAAUUCUCAAUAUCCUUAUCUAGAGCACAAGAUUCAAUGGCCUUUUUGUAGAGUUCCGCAUUCAUGGGCUUCCCAAAGAGUAUGUUGUCGCGAAUGGUGCCGCUUUGGAUCCAAGAUGUUUGUGAAACAUAAGCGAUAGAGCCAAAAAUUUCCACCUAAACAAAGAAAAAGACUAAUUGAAGAAAAGCCAAAAGAGAAAGGGUAAGAUAAAUGAUGAAUAUUCGUUCUAACUGUUUACUAACUCACUGAUCCAGAGAUUCUGGGUAUCUCCCCAAGAAUAGCAUAUAGCAAUGAUGAUUUUCCAGCACCUACAGGGCCACAAAUUGCAACCUUCUCUCCGCUUCUUAUACUCAAAUUUAUGUUGCUCAAAGUUGGAAUAUUCGUGCUAGGUUCCCAACUGAACAUACCGUUGUGAACAUUAACAGAAAUAUCAGAAUUAUGCAAUGAAUUUCUUUGAACAUCCUCAUCCUUACACUCUUCCUCAAGGAGAAAAACACCGAUACGGUCCAAUGAUACUUUUACUUGGAUCAUCAUAGAGAGUGCUUCAGGGAUCAUCCUCAUUGGCUCUGAAAUCACUCUCAAGGUUGAUAGAAUUGUGAAAAUUGUACUAGCAUCUAAAGAAGCACUUCUCAUGGCAGCUGUUCCAGCAAAAAUCACGGCUGAAACAAUUGUAGGAGCCAUCCAAAACAAAGCACUUCCAUAUGCCUUCUUAAUCUGGGUUUCUUUCAGCCACUUAAUCUCUACAUCUCGAAGAGCUUCGAUCGCCAUUCUGAACUUCUCCUCCCACGACUGUAACUUGAUGAUCUUCAUAUUGUUUAACACUUCAGAAGUAGCUCUUUGUCUCUCAUCUUGCGCGAUCAUGAAUUUUGACUGGUAUUUUUGUAGCAUCUUCGCGAAAGGGAUAUUAAUGAUUCCACAAAUCGUGAGAGGGGCCAAACCCGGAAGCGCUCCUAAACUGACCGUCCAAAAUAGUAAGAUUACGGCUAAAAGCAGCUGCAGUGGUUGGCUCCAUGCUAAGUGAAGCCAAAAGGGGAAUUCACCAAGUCUAUAGGCAUCAACUGCAAUGUAAUUUACAAUUUCUCCCGCAGAAUGCCUUUUUCUACCUUGGCUCGAAAGCUUAAGCUGCUUUUCAAAGAUAGCAGCCAUCACAGCGGAGCGCAUCUUCAUUCUGAGCCUUCUCGAACCAAAAAACCAAUGCCUUUGAGACAAGGACUCAACAAUUUUUAUUACGAUUAAGUAACCCACUAGAGAAAUGCCCAAGAAGAGAUCUCUUCUUUCUUGAUAAGAAUACGAGACAAACGAAUACAGCAAAAUAGGAGAGGCUGCAAAGGAUAGCGUCCUCAGCAAUGUGUACAAAGCGGUUACAAGAAUUUCCUUCAAGUAACACUUAGCGAGCACUACGAAAACCAAGUUAUCGGUGCUUGUAUUUUCCUGCACAUGGAGGUCCCAUUCUCUCAAAAACGCUUCACAAGCUUGAAACGCGCCAUCUUCAUUGUCCAAAGGAGGGAUGUCAUUGAGAUCCAAUGGUUUCGAGUAGCCUAAUUUUAGUAAUGGGUUCAUCCAGGUAAAUGUCAAGCGGCUGAAAAAGCCCGCUUCGCUAAAUUCCGUUCUUUUCGCAUUCUGCGCACUCAGCAGGGGUUUAGAUAAGCUAUCGUUCGAAGGGUCUCGAUAAGCAUCGCUUUUAUUAAGCCUAAUAGCACAGAAAAGUAGAAUCAAGCUUGUAGGCCAUGAUAUCGCGUCGAGAACUCGAAGGCUGUGAGAGUUGACCAGAAUUUCCAAGUUAUAUGCAGAGAUGAGAACUGAGAAUAAGAUCCACCAAAAUUGAGCAAAGGUUUUCAACCAUUUGGCGGGCUGAUAGUUUAAGGAAACUAACAAAAAUAACCAAAUCAAUCCCCUAAGAACGCAAUCGAUUCGCUCCCAAGGUUUAAGCUCCCCACUAGAUAAAGCCCAUAAUCCGAUUAUCAUAUACGCAAUGCCGGUUACCGCGCAACACGCAGAAGCAAUGGCUAUAGAAAAUCCCCAAUUUGAGUUCCUGUUUCUGCUGCUAUGCUGUUUUCUGAAUACAGCUACUAUUAAUGAACUCAAACAGUAGGUAAUGAGAAAAAGCAGAUUCAGAAGAUCAAUCAAACUUCUCUGCAGGCACAGAGAUCCCCAAUUUGACUUCUCUCCGCAAAUCCGGAGAAACCAAUCUGCCAUUAUAAUUAAGCAACACAAAAGAACAGUACGAUUCACAUUUUAAGGCCAAAAUAAGAACACCAAAAGAUAUAUAAGCAUCAUACUCAGUUGGAACAUCGCUCGAACAAACUCAUAAUAUAUGAAGGAUAGAAUAAUAAAAGAACAAACAAAGAAGCUAAUUAAGGGGAAAAACAAUGGAAAAUAUAUUUUACAUGAGAGGUCACAAAAUGGUACCUUGGUGACUACAAAGAGAAGCCAUUUUUGACAAAACCUGCUCUGCUGUUUUGCUAAGUGCUUAGUUUAAGCUCCUUGUAGCAAAACAACAAAUACCCAUUUCGAAAAGCGUUUUGUAGACGCCAAAAUACGUGCUAAAUACUACAAAUAAAAAGGGGUUGCGUAUUUUUGUGGGGCAUUUACUUCGUAGUUUGUCACCUUCCUCAGGAUAUUUACUCUCUUUUUUUAUUAUUAUUAUUAUUUUUUGUCGCCUAGCACGUUUUCAUGAAUACAACGGAUCCAUCCUCGAGUAGAUUAUUGUGAAGUUCUUUUUUUGCGUCGCGUUGCAGGCGAACGCAAGUCGCAAAGCACCGAGGUCGUAUUCGGUAAAAGGACAACGCUUUGAAAGUUUCUUCUGAAAGCCAUAAAUAUGCUGUCGAGCUGACGUGUCAUGUACAGAUUAGUUCGUAACAAAUAAUAUUCACGGAUAAAGUAUUCGUGAUAAACUUCGAAUAUCAUUCCUGAUAUUUCAUUUUUUUUAUUUAAAUAUUAUAUAAUUUAGGGAAAACUUUAAAAACCUCUAAUGUAGUUUCAUACUUUUUCAUUUUAGUACCGUGUGCUUUAAAGUGUAUCAAGUUAGUACCCUGUGAUUUCUCACUUUAUCACUUUAGUACCCUGUGGUUUAAAGUGUAUCAAGUUAGUAUCCUGUAGUUUUAUUUUUUUAUCAAGUUAGUACCCUUUGGUUUUUAAACCACAAGGUACUAAAGUGAUAAAGUGCGAAACCACAGGGUACUAAGUGAUAAAGUGCAAAACCACAUGCUACUAACUUGAUACACUUUAAACCACAGAGUACUAAAGUGAAAGAGUGCAAAACCAUAUAGUACUAACUUGAUACACUUUAAACCACAGGGUAUUAAAAUGAAAAAAAAUAAAACCAUAAGGGGGUAUUUGAAGUUUUUCCUAUAAUUUAAAAUGUAUUAAUUUAGUAUUAUGUAAUUUUAUUUUUUUCUUUUCGUGAGCCUUUUUGUUAACUUUUUGUUAAAUCGUAUACAAAAAAACUUUAGAUGUCUCACCCAUAGUUUAUCGAAUAUUCAUUUUAACACCUUUUAAUUUUAAUUUUCUCACUGAUUUAACAAAAAAAAUUAAUAAAGGGGAUAAAAAAAAGAAAAAAAUUAUAGGGUACGAAAGUACGUAAUACACUUUAAACUAUAUGAUAUUAAAGUAAAAAAUAUUUGAAAAUUUUCCAAAUAUUUACAAGAGACGUGUAUACUGUUUAGUAAGUAAUUGAGUAUUUGUACAUUGCCAUAGAGUUUUAAUUGGUUUGUAAAAGUAAUUUAAGAUCUCAUAUGAACAUAUUAAUAUGAUUAUUUAUACAUGUCUUAUUGAGAUUAUUUCAGAUCUUAGUAGAUUUAUAUUUUUUAGUUAUAUUAAAAUUUAGCAUUAUUAUAAAUAUAUAUAUUUUAUUUUAUUGAUUUGGUACGGUAGAUUAAAAGAGUAUUAUAAUAUUUUUUUCGACUACAAUUUUAUAAGAGAGGCAUUUUGUACACCACUAUAAUAAUAAUAAAAAUCUUUCUUGUGUCUUUGCAUAUGGAUAAGCCAGUGGACGGACCGCGUAAAUAUUUAUAUACUUUACUUUUCUUUUUCUCUCUUUUUAAAUUCUUUUUUAGUAUUUUUCUGCACGACAAAUUAGAUUAUUUUUGUUUUUAUCAUAAUAAACUAGUACCAAAGAAAUUUUGGUACCAAUAUAAAUUGUGAAUUUCUAACAAUAUAAAUACUUGGUGGGAGACCAUUAACUGGGGAAUCCUAGAUAUUUUGCAUAACUAAUUGAUCUCUAAACAAUUAUUCCUUUGAAAAGGAACUGUUGCAAUCAAUUGAUGGCGUCUUCUGUUCGGCUUCUUUUGGAUUGAAAUGAUAUAUACUAUCAUAUGGGUUUAUUGCCACUACAAUUAUGGAGAUAAUGAUGUGAGUUCUUAGAUCUAUGCCUAGUAUAAUCAUGGAGUUAUAAAUUGUUCGUUAGCUCUGUUUUGUAAUCUGAUGGUCUUACGGACCGUCCCUAGAGCAAGUGUCAAAGGGUUUGGUGGUUGGUACCCAAGAUCCAAGUUCGAAUCCAAGUUGAUUCACAUUUCCAGCUAAGUUUAUUUCUAAAUGAAAUAAACGAAACGGGUAGCGUGCUACCUAUCUCUCAAUAUAUAUAUAUAUAUAUAUAUAUAUAUAUAUAUAUAUAUAUAUAAUCUGAUGGUCUUAAGAGAGAUACUCAUAGUAAUGUUUCUUACUUCUUUUUUUUUUUUGUAAAAGUAAAAUAAUGAAUAACUAAUGUAGAAACUCACGAUGCGGUGGAUAAAAGUAUUUCAAUUUUAACAAAUUUAAUAAAUAAAUAAAAAUAUAAAAAAUUAAUAAUAUAAAAAUAUAGAAAAAAUUUUUAGAAUGAAAUUACAAUCUAACAUAAAAUAAUAUAAGAAACAAAAAAAGUAAGAAGUGUAAGAAUAAGAAAAUGAUUAUAUAGAUAGCCUAAAGAAAUAUUUAGAAUAUUAUGAAAAAAGUAUAACAAAUAAUAAAAGAUAAAUUGAAGAGACUCAAAUGUAUAUUUAACUAAUCAUAUAAAAAGAUUUAUCUAUUUUAUUCUCUUUUCUAAUCCAAAUCAGAUUUCUCUUAAACGCCAGCUAUCAUUGCAUUUACCUAUGGACAACAAAAUUGUCAUGUUAUUUUUAUAGAAUUAGUACAGAAUGCAAAAAAACUGAAGAAAAAAUAGCAAGAAAUAUAUUACAGCCAUAUAAAUAAAUUUUACAAAUAAUAAUAGUUAGUUUUAACUACCUAGAUUGUAAAAAUCCAUUUUUCAUACAUACAAAAACCAAACAACCUAUAUAUUAUUUUAGUCUGUUGAUGCAACAGGACAAUUUAAUAAGUGUUCUCAAUAAUUUUACUUUGUCAAUUUUUAUGUUACUCAAAUAACUUAUUUAUGAAAUAAUAUAUAGUAUACAACAAAGAAAAACACUUAAGGAAUAAAUUUUUUUUUAUUAUUUAUUAUGAAGCGUAAAAAGUAGAAAUAAAUAAGGCAGAAAGCUGAAGAGAUAAUAAUUUUUACGAAGAAGCACAUUGUGGAUGAGUGAAUAAAGAGCGAAAUGAUUGGCAAGUAGUAUUUAAUAAGGGGGAAGCCGAAGAGGCAAUAAUGCUAUGGAAAAGGCAAGUGGACACACUGUGGAGGAGCGAACGAAGAGUGAAGCGAUUGAAAAGUAAAAAUAGAAAAAAAAAAAAGAAAGAGAAACUCUAGAGG